UACGUAGGUGGCAAGCGUUGUCCGGAGUUACUGGGUGUAAAGGGCGUGUAGGCGGGAGAAUAAGUCAGAUGUGAAAUUCCAUGGCUCAACUGUGGCGCUGCGUCUGAAACUAUUUUUCUUGAGUGAUGGAGAGGAAAGCGGAAUUCCUAGUGUAGCGGUGAAAUGCGUAGAUAUUAGGAGGAACACCAGUGGCGAAGGCGGCUUUCUGGACAUUAACUGACGCUGAGGCGCGAAAGCGUGGGGAGCAAACAGG
rnacentral:rRNA from 1 species